UCUGCAGACAGAGAACCCAGCUUACUUCCAGACCUCCUCCAGGGUAGACAGAUCGCACAGAAGCACUCAGUAUUCUCAUGUUAGAGAUGGGGAAACUGGAGCUUGGAGUCUUAGUGGAAACCCUGGGCCUCACUGAUAUUCCAGCAGUCCUCUCCUACUGGGUGAAUAGGAGCAUCUGAAAAUAACCAGAUCAGGGACGGAGGAGUCAAGGCACAAGGUGAGUCCCGCCAUUCUGUACGUGGUAAGGCACUAUUGUCAUGAUUUUUCCUUACUGGAUACUAGAUUUUCCCAUGGUUGAGGUCACAGUUCAGGAGACAGGCUCCAACCCGUCUCACAGGAACUGCUUUCCCCAAACGAUAAACAUCAGUACUGCCCAAGACUCUGAUGGCCAUAAAGCGUAUCCUCUUCCCUGCAAGUGACUUAGGGAGAACCACAGAUCCAUCUCUCAGUUACAGCUAGGGUGAACCAAGCAACAGAGGGUUAAGUGACUUGACCGAGGUCACCAAAGAAGAUCCUGGCAGCACCAAGCCCAGCCUGGCCCACCCCCAGGUAUGAGCAUGGUCCAUUAUGCUAUCCAGCCUAGGCCCAUCCGACAGAAACAAAAACUACUGAUCGUUCGUUCAUUCAUUCAUUCCUUCAUUCAUUCAUUCAUUAUGUCCCAGAUGCCAUGCAAAAGGUGCUGGGACUACAUUAGAACAUUAAAAAAAACACAGGAUCCCAGCCCUCAAGGGGCUUUUAGUCAAGGGCUGGAGCCAAUUAGAGAGUGGGAAAGUCUGGCUGGGUGUGGUGGCUCACAACUGUAAUCCCAGCACUUUGGGAGGUCAAGGCAGGAAGACUGCUUGAGCCCAGAAGUCUGAGACCAGCUUGGGCAGCACAGUGAGACCCCCAUCUCUAUAAGAAAUUUAAAAAUUAGCUGGGCAUGGUGGCAUUUACCUGUAGUCCCAGCCACUUGGGAGGCUGAGGUGGGAGGUUUGCUUAAGCCUGGGAGGUUGAGGUUGCAGUAAGCCGUGAUUGUGCCAUGCACUCCAGCCUGUGUGACAUGGUGAGACCUUGUCUCAAAAAAAAAAAAAAAAAAAAAAAAAAGAAAGAAAAAGAGAGAGUGGGAAGGUCCUUCCAGGGCUCAGUCUGCUCAGGGACAAUGGUAUGUAAUGUCUGGGGGUGCUGCGGAGGAAUGAUAUUCUUUGAAGGUACAGGAUUGUUGGGCGCAGUGGUUCACACCUAUGAUCCCAGCACUUUGGGAGACCAAGGAGGGCAGAUUGCUCACACUCAGGAGUUCAAGACCAACCUAGGCAACACAGUGAGACCCUGUUUCUACCAAAAAUACAAAAAAUUAGCAGGGCAUGGUGGCACAUGCCUGUAGUCCCAGCUACUCGGCAGGCUGAGGCAGGAGAAUCACUUGAACCUGGGAGGUGGAGGGAGGUUGUAGUGAGCCAAGGUGGUGCCAUUGCACUCCAGCCUGGGUGACAGAGGGAGACCCCAUCUCAAAAAAAAAAAAAAAAAAAAAAAAGAAAGAAAGAAACAGGAUUGAUGGAGACAGACGUUCUCACCAUCCCCUAAAAGGAGCAUGAAUGAGUCAACAUAUCCCUGUCUAAAUAGCCAUCAACCAUUUACUGAGCACCUACUAUAUACCACAUCUGUGUCAGAAGCUGGAGAUAAAGAAAUCAAUGAUAGAUACCUCCUGCUCUUAAAGAACUUAAAUCAGAGGGGGAGACAAGUACAUUAAAACACGUCAUAAGAACAGAGAAUGAUAGGAACAAGGAAGGGAAGGCCCUAACCCACAUUGGGAGUGGUGAGGGAAACCUCCAGGUGGGGAGGUAUUCCCUGCACUGAGUCUUAAAGGACAACAAGGUGUUAACCAGCUCAAGACAAAGCAGGGACAUGGGCAGAAAAACAGGACACGGGGUCCAUGGGGGUGAACUAUAAGCAACUUGGUAUAAGCAGCUCCAUUGGACCGAAAUGGAGAAGCAAAGCAAGGGUGAGAGGUAAGUGGGGCCCAGGAGCAACAUCCAGCCUGGUGGGGCUGGGAGUGGGGGGCUGCCUGCUUGGACACCCCUCUUCCCCAUUCCAUCACCCAGGACCCUCCCACCCAUCCUGCAAACACCAGCUGCAAGUGCCUUGAGGCCGGGGAACACCCUUUCUCCUCUUCAGUCCCAGCACAGGCCUUGGUAUAGAAUAGGUGCUAACUAAAUGCUUGCUAAAUGCAUGCCAGGGGAAUAAAUUAAU